rnacentral:rRNA from 1 species
UACGAAGGGUGCAAGCGUUAAUCGGAAUUACUGGGCGUAAAGGGAGCGUAGGCGGCUCUUUAAGUCGGAUGUGAAAUCCCUGGGCUCAACCUGGGAACUGCAUCCGAUACUGGAGAGCUUGGAGUUUGAGAGAGGAUGGUGGAAUUCCUGGUGUAGCGGUGAAAUGCGUAGAGAUCAGGAGGAACACUAGUGGCGAAGGCGGCCAUCUGGCUCAAAACUGACGCUGAGGCUCGAAAGCGUGGGGAGCAAACAGG